GACGAACGCUGGCGGCGUGCCUAACACAUGCAAGUCGAGCGAGUGAAUCUCCUUCGGGAGUGAAGCUAGCGGCGGACGGGUGAGUAACACGUGGGCAACCUGCCUCAUAGAGGGGAAUAGCCUUCCGAAAGGGAGAUUAAUACCGCAUAAGAUUGUAGCUUCGCAUGAAGUAGCAAUUAAAGGAGCAAUCCGCUAUGUGAUGGGCCCGCGGCGCAUUAGCUAGUUGGUGAGGUAAUGGCUCACCAAGGCGACGAUGCGUAGCCGACCUGAGAGGGUGAUCGGCCACAUUGGGACUGAGACACGGCCCAGACUCCUACGGGAGGCAGCAGUGGGGAAUAUUGCACAAUGGGGGAAACCCUGAUGCAGCAACGCCGCGUGAGUGAUGACGGCCUUCGGGUUGUAAAGCUCUGUCUUCAGGGGCGAUAAUGACGGUACCUGAGGAGGAAGCCACGGCUAACUACGUGCCAGCAGCCGCCGCCGUAA
rnacentral:rRNA from 1 species